rnacentral:rRNA from 1 species
UACGAAGGGGGCUAGCGUUGCUCGGAAUCACUGGGCGUAAAGCGCACGUAGGCGGCUUUCUACGUCAGGGGUGAAAUCCUGGAGCUCAACUCCAGAACUGCCUUUGAUACUGGAGAGCUUGAGUCCGGGAGAGGUGAGUGGAACUCCGAGUGUAGAGGUGAAAUUCGUAGAUAUUCGGAAGAACACCAGUGGCGAAGGCGGCUCACUGGCCCGGUACUGACGCUGAUGUGCGAAAGCGUGGGGAGCAAACAGG